CCUACGGGUGGCUGCAGUCGCGAAUCUUCCACAAUGGACGAAAGUCUGAUGGAGCGACGCCGCGUGCGGGAUGAAGGCCUUCGGGUUGUAAACCGCUGUCGAGGGGAAUCAAAUUUUGAGUGAUCCCUGGAGGAAGCACCGGCUAAACUCGUGCCAGCAGCCGCGGUAAUACGAGUGGUGCAAACGUUGUUCGGAAUUACUGGGCUUAAAGGGUGCGUAGGCGGCCAUGUAGGUCUGAUGUGAAAUACCACGGCUCAACCGUGGAACUGCGUUGGAUACCGCAUGGCUGGAGUGAGACAGAGGUAAGCGGAACUGAUGGUGGAGCGGUGAAAUGCGUUGAUAUCAUCAGGAACACCGGUGGCGAAAGCGGCUUACUGGGUCUUUACUGACGCUGAUGCACGAAAGCUAGGGGAGCAAACGGGAUUAGAUACCCCAGUAGUC
rnacentral:rRNA from 1 species